AAUAGAUACCCCGGUAGUCCACGCCGUAAACGAUAGAGUGCUAAGUGUUAGAGGGUUUCCGCCCUUUAGUGCUGCAGCUAACGCAUUAAGCACUCCGCCUGGGGAGUACGGUCGCAAGACUGAAACUCAAAGGAAUUGACGGGGGCCCGCACAAGCGGUGGAGCAUGUGGUUUAAUUCGAAGCAACGCGAAGAACCUUACCAGGUCUUGACAUCCUCUGACAACUCUAGAGAUAGAGCGUUCCCCUUCGGGGGACAGAGUGACAGGUGGUGCAUGGUUGUCGUCAGCUCGUGUCGUGAGAUGUUGGGUUAAGUCCCGCAACGAGCGCAACCCUUGAUCUUAGUUGCCAGCAUUUAGUUGGGCACUCUAAGGUGACUGCCGGUGACAAACCGGAGGAAGGUGGGGAUGACGUCAAAUCAUCAUGCCCCUUAUGACCUGGGCUACACACGUGCUACAAUGGGAUGGUACAAAGGGGCUGCAAGACCGCGAGGUCAAACCAAUCCCAUAAAACCAUUCUCAGUUCGGA
rnacentral:rRNA from 1 species